rnacentral:rRNA from 1 species
UACAGGGGGGGCAAGCGUUGUUCGGAAUUACUGGGCGUAAAGGGCUCGUAGGCGGCCAACUAAGUCGGACGUGAAAUCCCCAGGCUCAACCUGGGAACUGCGUCCGAUACUGGAUGGCUUGAAUUCGGGAGAGGGAUGCAGAAUUCCAGGUGUAGCGGUGAAAUGCGUAGAUAUCUGGAGGAAUACCGGUGGCGAAGGCGGCAUCCUGGACCGACAUUGACGCUGAUGAGCGAAAGCUAGGGGAGCAAACGGG